rnacentral:rRNA from 1 species
GUUAUAGGGUCAAGCGAACAAGUGCAUGUGGUGGAUGCCUUGGCGAUCACAGGCGAUGAAGGACGCGGUAGCCUGCGAAAAGCUACGGGGAGCUGGCAAACGAGCUUUGAUCCGUAGAUGUCCGAAUGGGGAAACCCACUCCUUUUGGAGUAUCCAUGGCUGAAUACAUAGGCCAUGCGAAGCGAACGCGGUGAACUGAAACAUCUAAGUAACCGCAGGAAAAGAAAUCAACCGAGAUUCCCAAAGUAGUGGCGAGCGAAAUGGGAUGAGCCUUGCACUCUUUAUUUGUAUUGUUAGCCGAACGCUCUGGAAAGUGCGGCCAUAGCAGGUGAUAGCCCUGUAGGCGAAAACAGUAUGAAAGAACUAGGUGUGCGACAAGUAGGGCGGGACACGUGAAAUCCUGUCUGAAGAUGGGGGGACCAUCCUCCAAGGCUAAAUACUCGUGAUCGACCGAUAGUGAACCAGUACCGUGAGGGAAAGGCGAAAAGAACCCCGGGAGGGGAGUGAAAUAGAUCCUGAAACCGCAUGCAUACAAACAGUCGGAGCCUCGUAAGGGGUGACGGCGUACCUUUUGUAUAAUGGGUCAGCGACUUACGUUCAGUAGCAAGCUUAACCGUAUAGGGCAGGCGUAGCGAAAGCGAGUCCGAAUAGGGCGUUCAGUUGCUGGGCGUAGACCCGAAACCAGGUGAUCUAUCCAUGGCCAGGAUGAAGGUGCGGUAACACGUACUGGAGGUCCGAACCCACUAACGUUGAAAAGUUAGGGGAUGAGCUGUGGAUAGGGGUGAAAGGCUAAACAAACCUGGAAAUAGCUGGUUCUCUCCGAAAACUAUUUAGGUAGUGCCUCGUGUCUCACCUUCGGGGGUAGAGCACUGUCAUGGUUGGGGGGUCUAUUGCAGAUU